rnacentral:rRNA from 1 species
GCGUGCGGGAAGAAGGCCUUCGGGUUGUAAACCGCUUUUGGCAGGAACGAAACGGUGCGGGCGAAUACCCUGUGCUAAUGACGGUACCUGCAGAAUAAGCACCGGCUAACUACGUGCCAGCAGCCGCGGUAAUACGUAGGGUGCGAGCGUUAAUCGGAAUUACUGGGCGUAAAGCGUGCGCAGGCGGUUGUGCAAGACAGGUGUGAAAUCCCCGGGCUUAACCUGGGAACUGCAUUUGUGACUGCACGGCUAGAGUUUGUCAGAGGGGGGUGGAAUUCCACGUGUAGCAGUGAAAUGCGU